UACGAAGGGGGCUAGCGUUGCUCGGAAUUACUGGGCGUAAAGGGCGCGUAGGCGGAUGACUAAGUUGGGGGUGAAAGCCCGGGGCUCAACCUCGGAACUGCCUUCAAUACUGGUCAUCUUGAGUACGGGAGAGGUGUGUGGAACUCCGAGUGUAGAGGUGAAAUUCGUAGAUAUUCGGAAGAACACCAGUGGCGAAGGCGACACACUGGCCCGUUACUGACGCUGAGGCGCGAAAGCGUGGGGAGCAAACAGG
rnacentral:rRNA from 1 species